CCUACGGGGGGCAGCAGUGGGGAAUAUUGGGCAAUGGGCGCAAGCCUGACCCAGCAACGCCGCGUGAAGGAAGAAGGCUUUCGGGUUGUAAACUUCUUUUGUCAGGGAAGAGUAGAAGACGGUACCUGACGAAUAAGCCACGGCUAACUACGUGCCAGCAGCCGCGGUAAUACGGAGGUGGCACGCGUUGUCCGGAUUUACUGGGUGUAAAGGGCGUGUAGCCGGGUUGACAAGUCAGAUGUGAAAUCCUGCGGCUUAACCGUAGAACUGCAUUUGAAACUGUUGUUCUUGAGUACGGGAGAGGCAGGCGGAAUUCCUAGUGUAGCGGUGAAAUGCGUAGAUAUUAGGAGGAACACCAGUGGCGAAGGCGGUCUGCUGGACAGCAACUGACGGUGAGGCGCGAAAGCGUGGGGAGCAAACAGGAUUAGAUACCCGAGUAGUC
rnacentral:rRNA from 1 species